rnacentral:tRNA from 1 species
GGAGAAAUACCCAAGCGGUUGAAGGGAUCGGUCUUGAAAACCGACAGUAGUGUCAAAGCUAGCCAGGGUUCGAAUCCCUGUUUCUCCGCCA